rnacentral:rRNA from 1 species
CGUGUAGGUGGCUAAUUAAAUCAGGUGUGAAAUCCUUCCGCUUAACGGAAGAAGUGCACUUGAAACUGCUUAGCUAGAGUACGGGAGAGGAAGGUGGAAUUCCUGGUGUAGAGGUGAAAUUCAUAGAUAUCGGGAAGAACACCGGUGGCGAAGGCGGCCUUCUGGCCCGAUACUGACGCUGAGACGCGAAAGCGUGGGGAGCAAACA